UAGGGUCUUCUUGAUGAGAUGCACCAC
rnacentral:piRNA from 1 species